rnacentral:rRNA from 1 species
UACGGGGGGGGCAAGCGUUGUUCGGAAUUAUUGGGCGUAAAGGGCUCGUAGGCGGUUUGUCGCGUCGGGAGUGAAAACUCAGGGCUUAACCCUGAGCCUGCUUCCGAUACGGGCAGACUAGAGGUAUGCAGGGGAGAAUGGAAUUCCUGGUGUAGCGGUGAAAUGCGCAGAUAUCAGGAGGAACACCGGUGGCGAAGGCGGUUCUCUGGGCAUUACCUGACGCUGAGGAGCGAAAGUGUGGGGAGCGAACAGG